CAGAGAUAAGCCCGCUUUUGUUUGUGGAAACGAUCAGUCACAACAUUGCUCAGCACCGCUGUUGCAGAAUUAUUGGUUUAAUCAAUCAACCGUUCGCCAACCGUCUAGCCAAAGCAAAAGAAUGGCCUUGAGGCCUUGGAACUGGCCCGCACUUGUAUCUUUUUUCUUCUUCCCCUGCUUACUGGAGAAUGCUGAUGGAGCGCUGAAGAUUAGCCGGAUUACAUGCAGUGCUGUGAUUUUUGUCUCGCACGGUGAUCAGAACGCCAAUCUGUCCCCUCACAGCACUUGGGCUAGGCUGAGUACCCUGAAGAAAAGGCCUGAUUUUGUCUGAUGGACCUGUGGAACUGAUGUGAGUAACCUGGAUGAGUGCAUUAGUAUUCCAAGGCUGCGUCUCAUGAUUUUCCUCUUGUGAAAGGGCAUUUCCCUCCAAACCAGAUGUGAUUCCUAUAUGACUGUGACUUUUUGCUUCUCAAGAUUUUGACAAGCCACAUUCAUAACAGACAUUCCAUUCCAUCUGCAGGGUGAUUGCAGGGAUAUGAAUGCCUGGGGAUCAUUGUGAACUGUCACGGCCUUGCCUUGCCUCGCCUGACUGGGUUGGAGGAGGGAGCUUCAACAGGCCAGCAGGGACUGACUGCACACAUUCAGUGUGCUGGCAUUAACCUCUGCAGGCCUCUCCUUCCUGUACCCCUCAGCAGAUCUGAAAGGUGUAACCUCUACUGAUUUCCCUGUGGUCGGAGUGCAUCUGAAGAGCCUAUUUGCACUCGAAAAGCUACUCGGUACUUCUCUGGCAGAGCAUGGGCAGGAUAGCCUACUUGCCAGGGGAUUUCUGUUGGCUACUCUCUUCCAUAAUUAGCCCACCCACAUUCACAGUCAUAUGAGGAUGUAUUCGGUUUUCUGUCAAAGAAUUGCUGUCUUGUAGGACAUAGGCUAGACUACUUCUGAAUGGAGAAUGAUGAUCAAACACAAGUUUCUGUCAUACAUAUAAUGAUGGAUAGCAAAUUAUUUAUUAACAUUCACAGUUAAAGUGAACAAUGCAGCUAGUUUUGAGCGACUGAAAAUGAUGCUUUUUAAAGAACCCUUGUAUAAUAGGCUAACACAUCUAUGCUACAUUUAAAUUCAAUUGUAUGUUCUCAAGUUGCCAUAAUUUGACAAAUGUAUUUUUCUCUGAUGACAAAAAAUGUAUGUCCCUUUCCAUUCAAGCUGAAUUUAAU